rnacentral:rRNA from 1 species
GUACACGCUGUGACUAGCAUAUCAAUAAGCGGAGGAAAAGAAACUAACAAGGAUUCCCCUAGUAACGGCGAGUGAAGCGGGAAGAGCUCAAAUUUGAAAUCUUAAAGGGUUUCCCUUUACGAAUUGUAGUUUAAAGAAGUGUUUUCUGUUGAGGUUUUGGUAAAAGUUCUUUGGAAUAGGACAUCAUAGAGGGUGAGAAUCCCGUAUUUGACCUUUACUUUCAACUUUGUGAUACACUUUCAAAGAGUCGGAUUGUUUGGGAAUGCAGUCCAAAAUGGGUGGUAAAUUUCAUCUAAAGCUAAAUAUUGGCGAGAGACCGAUAGCGAACAAGUACCGUGAGGGAAAGAUGAAAAGAACUUUGAAAAGAGAGUUAAACAGUACGUGAAAUUGUCAAAAGGGAAGCGUUCGACACCAGUGUUGUUUUUCUGAAAAUCAAUUAAAGAACUGUUUAUGCUAAGUUGUUUAGACUUUAUCAGCUAACUGUUUAGUUUUGAGCUUUUCUUUAAUGCACUUUUCAGUUAACAAGUCAACAUCAAUUUCUUUUGCUGUAAAAAAGCUUGAGGAAGGUGGCUUGAGAUUCGUCUUAAGUGUUUAUAGCCUCUUGCCUAUGCAGUCGGAGAGAUUGAGGUCUGCAGCGUAGAUCCUUCGGGGCUAAAUGCAUUUGUGCUAAGUUAUAGCAUUUCAUAGACAACUUGUUGACUAUGAUUUGUCUUGUAGCUUACUCGCUUAUGUUAUUUUACCUACGCUUAGGAUGUUGACGCGCGUGUGUGCGUG